rnacentral:rRNA from 1 species
UACAGAGGGUGCGAGCGUUAAUCGGAAUUACUGGGCGUAAAGCGUGCGUAGACGGUAGCGUAAGUCAGAUGUGAAAGCCCCGGGCUCAACCUGGGAACUGCAUUUGAGACUGCUCUGCUCGGGUGGGGAAGAGGGAAGCGGAAUUUCCGGUGUAGCGGUGAAAUGCGUAGAUAUCAGGAGGAACACCAAUGGCGAAGGCAGCUCGCUGGGACGGUACUGACGCUGAGACGCGAAAGCGUGGGGAGCAAACAGG